rnacentral:rRNA from 1 species
AUAUUGCACAAUGGGGGAAACCCUGAUGCAGCGACGCCGCGUGGAGGAAGAAGGUCUUCGGAUUGUAAACUCCUGUUGUUGAGGAAGAUAAUGACGGUACUCAACAAGGAAGUGACGGCUAACUACGUGCCAGCAGCCGCGGUAAAACGUAGGUCACAAGCGUUGUCCGGAAUUACUGGGUGUAAAGGGAGCGCAGGCGGGAAGACAAGUUGGAAGUGAAAUCUAUGGGCUCAACCCAUAAACUGCUUUCAAAACUGUUUUUCUUGAGUAGUGCAGAGGUAGGCGGAAUUCCCGGUGUAGCGGUGGAAUGCGUAGAUAUCGGGAGGAACACCAGUGGCGAAGGCGGCCUACUGGGCACCAACUGACGCUGAGGCUCGAAAGUGUGGGUAGCAAACAGGAUUAGAUACCCUGGUAGUCCACACCGUAAACGAUGAUUACUAGGUGUUGGAGGAUUGACCCCUUCAGUGCCGCAGUUAACACAAUAAGUAAUCCACCUGGGGAGUACGACCGCAAGGUUGAAACUCAAAGGAAUUGACGGGGGCCCGCACAAGCAGUGGAGUAUGUGGUUUAAUUCGACGCAACGCGAAGAACCUUACCAAGUCUUGACAUCCCUUGACGAACAUAGAAAUAUGUUUUCUCUUCGGAGCAAGGAGACAGGUGGUGCAUGGUUGUCGUCAGCUCGUGUCGUGAGAUGUUGGGUUAAGUCCCGCAACGAGCGCAACCCUUAUGGUCAGUUACUACGCAAGAGGACUCUGGCCAGACUGCCGUUGACAAAACGGAGGAAGGUGGGGAUGACGUCAAAUCAUCAUGCCCUUUAUGACUUGGGCUACACACGUACUACAAUGGCGUUAAACAAAGAGAAGCAAGACCGCGAGGUGGAGCAAAACUCAGAAACAACGUCCCAGUUCGGACUGCAGGCUGCAACUCGCCUGCACGAAGUCGGAAUUGCUAGUAAUCGUGGAUCAGCAUGCCACGGUGAAUACGUUCCCGGGCCUUGUACACACCGCCCGUCACACCAUGAGAG